rnacentral:lncRNA from 1 species
UAGGGCUAUGAUCAGUGCAACGCAGAGGAUCAGGACACAAUAGAUCUAGAUGUAUGGGACGUUAUCGUGCCACCAGCCUGACAAGAAUCAGCGUUUUCAGAGAGCCAUCUUAACUUAUGCUUUUACUCGACUAUCUGCACAAGUCAUUUCAGCAUUGAUGUACGUGACUUUGCAAUGCAAAAUAAGUGCACAUGAGCUGUGUCCCACUCAUGCGUGGCUAUCUUGAGGUCCUGCAGUAUUUAUCGUGAAAACUGGAGGUUCUGCCCCAUCAAGAGAGUGUACUCGCAUCGUUGACUGGGCAUUAUGGAUGAUAAUGGAGACUUUGAAGUUCUAGACUCGCCUCCUGACUUGCCUAUCUCGGCUCCUGGUGAUGCCCGAGUCCGCUGCAUGUCUUGAUCGUCCAUGCUCUCCUGUAAAGGAAGCACUGCAUUAAUCUUCUACUGCCAGCUAUUCAAUCCUCUGUGACUCGUCUUGUCGUAAGGGGAAAGUGAGAUCCUGCAGAUCUGACGGAGGAUCAGCUCCAGGAGCUGGCAUACACACUCUUCUCUGCCUACUGCGGCCCUCAUGCCACUUCCUCACUCCGAAUUUUUGUGAGGCAACAGCUAGAG